rnacentral:lncRNA from 1 species
CACCCAUCAAGAUAGGAAGCACUUUUACAGGUGGGCUCUGUUUGGUCAAACUGUAUUUUACAAUUAUGACUAUGAAAAAAGAGUGUCUUUGAGAAUUUACCUUUAGAUAGCAAAUUCCUAUACCCCUUCUCCAAUUUACUCACCCCUUGGUCCUUAUUUCUAACAUUCUAUAAUGUUUUACUUGUUUUAUCUUUAUUGUCUGACACAUUACUACUGAGGGAAUGAGUGAAUUGUCUCAAACUGUACCAUCCUCACUGCUCACAAAGUCGGAUAGCAAAGGUCAGUGAAAAUUUCCCCCAACUUGGUAUUUAUGUUGCUUUAUUUUUAAGUGCUUGUUCACUUCUCUGGGAGCACUUCUACAUUGGAAGCUCCGUGAGAGCAGAUUAGAAUGAAUGAAUGAAUGAAUGAAUGAAUGAAUGAAUGAAUGAGUGACCUGGACUCCCCCUGGGUUGUGUCUGGAUGGUUUGGGUGGGACUGUGUGAGCCUCGCCCUCCUCAUUCUGCUCCUAUUGCUAAUUGUAGAGCGGUGGUAGCAGCUCAGACUGAAAGGGAUCUGGAUGACUUCAGUGAUGGAGGCAGCAGAUUAUCCAGGCUGAACUCAAAGUCCCACGCAAAUGAAGGUAGGCUAUCCAGAGAGAGGCAGAGCCAGUGUGGCCUAUCUUCAAGAAGGAAAACAUGGAAGGGGCACAGAAGUUAAAGCACUCAUUGAAGAUUUUUCCAGCUAUUAUGCGAGUGGUCACCCCAGUUCUGUCCAACGCUGCAGCCACUGGCCAUGCCAGGCUCUCGAGCACCUGAAAUGUGCCUUGUCAUAAUCGAGAUAUGCUGUCGUUGUAACUAACACCCUGGAUUUUGAGGAUUUAGAGUGAAAAAGGAAGGCAAAAUUGCUCAUUAGCAAUUGUUUUAAUAUUGACUAUAUGUUCAAAUGCUAUUUUGGUUACACUGAG